AUGACGAUGUCACCCUUCAAGCGUCUGACGACGCGGUCCUGCUUACGCUUGACUUUCGCCACCCUCGUCGCCUCCGCUGCCUCCCGCUUGGACUGCUCAAUCAAUGCGGAGCCGGAGUGCCUUGGCGUUUAUCAUCCGGAGCCGCCUGAAUUCCUUCUCCGCCGUCGACAUGAGACUGAUCACUUCACUAUAGAGUUCGUUCAUGGUGGAUUUUUCAUGGGGACCGGAGGAAAUAGAUCAUAUGUUAAUGGCAGAAAAGUUUGCUAUGAUUACUGCGAAGCUAACAUAAUAUGCAUGGCCAUGUUUGAUGAUUUAAUUGAGACACUGGGUUAUGAAAGAAAGGGAAGAAUUAGCACAUACUUAUUGCUGCCGGGUAUGCAAAUCAAUGAAGAUGGUCUUCGGUUGUUAUCAAAGGACAGCGACACAGCGUGCAUCAAGGCAAUGAUUGCACAUCACCCAUGCCCUGUACAGGUUGCACAUCACAUGACCAAAUGUGCCUGGCACAUUACAAGAUCAUAUCAUGUAGAAAAUGAACAGUACACUGCAUCUUGUGCAGACAGUGCCUCCCCGCAGCUGGUCCAGGCUUUCGGACGGCGUCUGACAGCAGCGACGCACGGACGUAUAUCGUGCCGGAAUCCUGCAGCAGCAUCUUGCGCCGCCGCCUACAGCCGCACCACCUGCGGCUCCAUUGUCGCCGUCCGCAGGGGCUCCACCUGCGGCACGGACGUCCUCGUCGGCGGAACACGAUCAAGAGCAAGAUCGACUACCCGGGCGUCGUCACCCACGUCCUCGGUCGCCUCCGAUGGGACUAUCAGCAACAUCGACGUCUGCGGCCGCGGCGAUGCUGCUGCUGUCACCGUGUUUCCGGCCUGCCCCGUCUGCCACAGGCAGUUCCACAGCUCGAAGGCCGUACACGGCCACAUGAGGGUCCACGCGCAGGCGCAGCCCAAGGAGGAGGAGAAGGUGUCUGCUACGGUCAGCACCGUCGACGAGGUGGACGACUCCGUGUCCAUCUCCAUCGCCAGUGUCGUCGCGGAGCCCAAGAUCUCGGAGGACCCGAUGCCCGUGGAGGUGGCGAGCGAUCAUGCCGUCCCCGGCAGCGGAAGCAACAGCAACGCCGGCGUGGAGCCGAGUCAGAUUGCUGCUGAUCAGUCCAUGGCCAUCGUGGUGGCAGCGGCAGCACCGCCUGCCGCCAUAUCGGAGCAAGUCGACAUCGCCCCGACGCCUCCUGCACCGCAGCAAGUCCCUGUCCCACCUCCGGUGGCACCAGCACCAGAGCCAGCCGCCAUCUACCUCCACCCGCCCGCUCCCGCACUGGCAGGGCAGCAUGUAGCCGUCCCCUCACCACCGGCCGCGGCACCGCCGCAUGCCUUCCACGGGCUGCUGCACCUGAACACCAUGCCGUGGUUCCCAACACACCAGGGGUUGGGCGGCCACGUCGCAGGCCACAAGAACCGGCGGAUCGCGGCGGCGGCCGCCGCAGCCAUAGCAGCGGGGCUCGACCCGAUUGACCACGCUGCGGGCGGCCCCAGGCCGGAAAGGCUCCACACCUGCAAGGUCUGCGGUGCCGUGUACACCAGCGGCGUCUCCCUCAGGGGACACAUGAGGAAGCACUACCAGGGCAAGCCGAUCGUGCCGAGGAAGCGGCCGCGCCCCCUCUUCCGCGCGGACCUCGGGCUCGCGGUCCCCAUGCCGCCGCCUGCAAUGGAAGCUCCCGUUGUGGCGCCGCCGGUGGCUGAGGUGGUGGCGCAGCUCCCGCAGGCGCCGGAGGUGCCGGCGGGCAGCCUGAGGAUUUUCGGCGUGACCAUUGUUCAGCAGGCCAAGGAAGAGGAGGAACCCCCCGUCGACGACAAGCAGUGA
rnacentral:rRNA from 1 species